AGAGUUUGAUCAUGGCUCAGAACGAACGCUGGCGGCGUGCCUAACACAUGCAAGUCGAGCGAGAAAAUUGGCUUCGGCCAGUGAGUAAAGCGGCGCACGGGUGAGUAACGCGUGGACAAUCUGCCUCAUGGUUCAGAAUAACCUGCCGAAAGGCGGGCUAAUGCUGGAUAAGUUCUUUUGGACUGCGGUCUGGGAGAAGAAACGAUGCUCGCAAGGGUGUCGCCGUGAGAUGAGUCCGCGUCCCAUCAGGUAGUUGGCGGGGUAACGGCCCACCAAGCCUAAGACGGGUAGCUGGUCUGAGAGGAUGAUCAGCCACACUGGAACUGAGACACGGUCCAGACUCCUACGGGAGGCAGCAGUGGGGAAUUUUGGUCAAUGGGCGCAAGCCUGAACCAGCAACGCCGCGUGGGUGAUGAAGGCCUUCGGGUUGUAAAGCCCUGUCGGGAGGGACGAAUGAACGGCUUAACAAACCGGAAUGACGGUACCUCCAAAGGAAGCACCGGCUAACUCUGUGCCAGCAGCCGCGGUAAUACAGAGGGUGCAAGCGUUGUUCGGAAUUACUGGGCGUAAAGCGCGUGUAGGCGGUCUUCCAAGUCUGAUGUGAAAGCCCUGGGCUCAACCCAGGAAGUGCGUCAGAUACUGGUUGACUGGAGUGGCGGAGAGGAUGGCGGAAUUCCCGGUGUAGAGGUGAAAUUCGUAGAUAUCGGGAGGAACACCUGUGGCGAAGGCGGCCAUCUGGACGUCAACUGACGCUGAGACGCGAAAGCAUGGGGAGCAAACAGGAUUAGAUACCCUAGUAGUCC
rnacentral:rRNA from 1 species